rnacentral:rRNA from 1 species
UAGAGGAUGGCUUGGUUCGGGCGCCGAAGAAGGACGUGCCAAGCUGCGAUAAGCCUUGGGGAGGCGCAUGGAGCCUUAGAUCCAAGGAUCUCCGAAUGGGACUUCCUGCCGUAAGGCACUCCGAAAGGAGAGGGAACCCGGGGAAUUGAAACAUCUUAGUACCCGGAGGAAAAGAAAUCAAUUGAGAUACCGUCAGUAAAGGCGAUCGAAAGCGGUAGAAGGCAAACCGAAUAGCCCUUCGAAAGAAGGGAAAGAUGUGGAGUUUGGUCUUCCUCUAACGCCUCCUGAAGCGAGAUGAAUCUUCUGGAAAGAAGAGCCUUAGAAGGUGAUAGCCCUGUAAUCGAAGCUUCAGAAGCCAUAAGGGGAAGUAACCAGAGUACCAUGCGUCGUUUUUCGCGUGGGAAUUUGGGUGGCACUAACAUCCAACCUUAAAUACGUCCCGAGUCCGAUAGCGAACUAAGUACCGUGAGGGAAAGCUGAAAAGAAACCCGGAAGGGUGGUGAAAAGAGCCUGAAACUAGGCAGAGAUAAACUUAUAGGGCAGUUAAGAGGUGAAGUCGUUAACUACGAUGGAUCGCUGUCCUAUUGUCCGUGUUGAAGAACGGGCCAGGGAGUUCUGACGAGUGGCAAGGUUAAUCCUGAAAGGAGUAGCCGUAGCGAAAGCAACUACCCGCACAGCAAUGGAGGGGUGGCGUGGUAAACGCGUUUAGUCACUCGUGAGAGACCCGAAGCCGGUCGAUCUAUACCUGAGUAGGUUGAAGCUCAGUGAAAGCUGGGUGGAGGACCGAACCUAUUCUGAUGUGCAAAUCGUUUGGAUGACUUGGGUAUAGGGGUUAAAGGCCAAUCUAGGCCGGCAAUAGCGGGUUCCCCCCGAUACUACCCGCAGGUAGACCUCGACGGAGAUUCUCGGCGAGGUAGAGCGACCGAUUGGUUGGUAAGCAGUCGAAAGGCUGCGCCGACUUGUCAAACUCCGAACUUGUCGAGAUCGUAGAUGUCGGGUGCUAGGGGGCAGGGAUAAGCUUUGCUUCCGUGAUGGGAACAACCAAGACGAGGGUUAAGGUCCCUAAGUUCUAGUUAAGUGCACUAAAUAGGUUUGUGGCCGAAGACAGUGGGGAGGUAGGCUCAGAAGCAGCCACCCUUUAAAGAGUGCGUAACAGCUCACUCACCGAGGUCACAUGCCUAGAAGAUGGAAGGGGCUAAAACUAGACACCGAGACCUUCGAGCACCGAAAGGUGAUCUGGUAGGGGGGCGUGCCAUGUGGAUAGAAGUCUCCCCGAGAGGAGGGAUGGACCGCAUGGUAUCGCGGAUCCUGGUGAAAGUAGCAGAGAAGAACCGUGAGAAUCGGUUCCGCCGAAAGGGCUAAGGGUUCCUUGGCAAUGUUCGUCAGCCGAGGGUUAGUCGAUCCUAAGGUCAUACCUAACAGGAUAUGACCGAAGGGGAAGCCGGUUAAUAUUCCGGCACACUGAACGUUUUGCCCUGUAUGAGAAGGUUCAGGGUAGGGGCGGUACGGGUGCCAACGUAUUUAUGCUCAUAAGCGGAUGGAGAGUCGUAAUGACGAGAAGUUCGCGAAGGAGCGUAUGUUCCCAUUUGGGAAUCGCCUCGAUCCCCGGAUCCCAUGAAAAUCAUGCAGGGGUCAUGUUCAGUAUCGUACCAAGAACCGACACUGGUGCCCCUAGGUGAGAAGCCUAAGGCGUUUUGGGAUAAUGGACGCGAGGGAAAUCGGCAAAAUAGCUCCGUAUCUUCGGUAUAAGGAGUGCCUAUUCCGUGAGGGAAUAGGUCGCAGUGACGAAGGGACUCCGACUGUUUACCACAAACACAGAUCGCUGCUAGUCCGUAAGGAUGUGUAUAGCGGUUGAAACCUGCCCAGUGCUGGUACCUGAAAGCCCCGUACAAGGGGAAGAAGGGCCAGUAAACGGCGGGGGUAACUAUGACCCUCUCCCACGUGAAAGCGAAGUCCCCGUGGAGCUUUACUGCAGCCUGUAGCUGUGGUGCGAUCCUGACUGCGUAGUGUAGGAAGGAGCCGUCGAAGCUCUGGUUUCGGCCGGAGUGGAGGCGCCAAUGAAACACUUCCCUCUCGGGAUUGCGUCACUAACCUCUUCGGAGGGACAACUAUUGGUGGGCAGUUUGGGUGGGGCGCCACGCCCCUAACAACGUAACAGGGGCCCCCAAAGGUCAGCUCAGGAGGGUCAGAAAUCCUCCGUAGAGUGUAAAAGCAAAAGCUGGCUUGACUGUGUUGCAGACAACUAGCAACGCAGAUGCGAAAGCAGGGUUUAGCGAACCACCCAGUUCCUCCUUAGUGGGGGCGGGUGAUAAGAGAGAAGUUACCCCAGGGAUAAC